rnacentral:rRNA from 1 species
UAAACUCGGCUAGUAUGAAUGGUUUGACAAGAAUAUAGCUGUCUCUUUACAAUUUGAUAGAACUUUAUUUACAGGUGAAGAAGCCUGUUUAGCAUUAAAAGACGAGAAGACCCUAUCGAGCUUAAAAAAAAUAACGAGAUGUCUCUGUUCUUUUUUAAAAGGUUUAGUAAACAGAAAUGGAAGCUGGUGUGACAAAGGAAUACAAAAAGCUUCCUUUAUAGUUUAUAAAACCAACAAGUAUUGAUCCAAGACAUUUUGAUCAAAGGAUUUAGUUACCGUAGGGAUAACAGCAUUAUCUUUUUUAAGAGCCCCUAUCGAAAAAAAGGUUUGUGACCUCGAUGUUGGACCAGAAUAUCCCAAAGAUGCAGCAGUCUUAAAGGUUGGU